rnacentral:lncRNA from 1 species
AAUUGUGAGAAUUAAUUUUGUAAUUAAGAAUUACAAAAUAAACCAAGAACUUGCUUUUUUUUUUUCUCUCAACAAAGAUCUAAAAGUUAGGUUCCUCCUAAAAGUAUCAUCUCUCUCUUUCCUCCACCAUUUGAAUCUAAUUCCAAGUCAAGAGAAUAACGAGUCAACACUUGUGGUAGUCCUAACUUUGAGUUCGUGAGAAAAUUACAAGAAAAGAAAAGUAUCAAAGAUGAGUUUUUCUUUUAACCAUAUAUUUGUUUCAAUUAGGGUUGUAAUGCAUGUUAUUUACUAGUGUUUAGUUGCAAUUAGAGUAAAGUUUGAUUCUUAUUCUGCUGUGCAUGUAUACCGUUUUCAUCAUUCGAAAGUUAUGUUAAGCGGUUAAAGCUAUUCGUGGUAUGAAAUUAGGCAAGAAUAAAAAUUUGGCGAGAAAAUGUCAAAUUUGAUUUGACAGGGAUUAGCGUGUAAGAUUAAGAAUUGAAGCAUGACUAAGAUAAAUAUUAUUUUUUCACGUGUGAGAUUUUAAGUAGUUGCUGACAAUUUGACAAGGACUUGAGGGUGACUAUUCCAGGUUAAAGAGUAGUAUAAAUAAAGGAUUUUGGUCACUAAGUAAAGGAGUUUUCUGGAAAUUUUGAUGUGUUGAAGUUCUGCCAUUUUGCUUCCGCGCAAGAAGGCUAAGUAUCGCAAGUGAUCUUUUCUUAAAAGUAUUUGUGGGUGCUUUCUUUCAAAGUGUUCUUUUAAAGUAUUUAUAUGAUUUCAAACAUGUUUUAUAAUGCUUAAAUCUUGAUUUGAUGACUACGAUAUUGAUUAAGAAAUGGUAUUCAAAUCAUUACUUGCUUCCUUUAAAUGAACUAACUGUUAUGUGCAUAUAAGGUUAAAGGGAGCCAUGUAGAAAAGGCCUACAUGGUGGAGUGAAGCCGACCAAUGUAGAAAAAGAUUGCAUUGUGUUAGGCGGCUUAACCAACAAGGAUGAAUCUGCAUGUUCUCGGAAGUUGUUGAUACAGUAGUCUAAAUGCAAGGUAAUGAGACCAAACAUAGAGAACGAUUGAAGAUCCUUGUCGAAAGAAAUGAUUGUGACUAAUGGGUGUAUAUGCGAAAUUUAUAUUUAUGUGAUUUGCGAGUUUGAUAUGAUUCUAUUGUGAAAAUGAUUAUACGCUUUUCGAUAUGGUUUGUGAAAUGAUUUGUUUAUUGAUAAACUGAUUUGUGUUGAAGUUUAUGAUUUGGCGAAAAGGAUUUAUCAAAGAGUAUUGUGAAAAAGUUUUCAUAAAACCUUACUAAGUCUUUAAACUUACGUUUUAAAAUUUCAUCUACCAAGAUCAGGCGUUGAGGCCAAGUAGAGAAGAAGGUUGAAGGGCUUAUAGCAAGUUGAGAAAGCUACCAGACAUUUAAAAGUUUUAUUAAUGUUAUUUAUUUUGGUCAAGGUGUUGUAAUUGUAUGUUUAUGUACUAAACGCAUGUUGUUGUAUAAAAGUUUAAGAUGACUUUCGUUGCGUUAUGUUUAUCUUUACCGCUUGGUAGUUUAAAUGAGUUAAGUUUGAGGUAGGAGAUAAGACCAGUUUGAAGGUUUUAAGCUAAAUCGCGUUCUAUCUACAAUACUUUAUGCGUUCUAGCUGUUUUGCGGAUCGGAGUGUCACACAGAAGAUGGUAAUCUCGAGGUUGAUAAGAACUUGCACGUCUUGAGAGUUUUUAGAAGUUUAAGUUUUCAAUUAUUUAGAGCUUCAGUUGUUCCUUCAACCAAAGAUCUCAAAAUGAAUGAGAAUGUAUCUAUUUGUAGAGAACUUCCAUAGGCUUUAGGACCAAUUUAC